rnacentral:rRNA from 1 species
AUGCACAGACAAAAAAAUUGUGAUGGGGAGACCAAGCGAAGUAUUCAUGAUGCUCUGUGUGUUGCAAGGAAUCUGAUCAUCAACAACUCAAUUGUGUAUGGUGGUGGCUCGGCAGAAAUAUCUUGCUCAAUUGUUGUUGGAGCUGCAGCGGAUCAGCAUCCUGAAGUUGAGCAGCAUGCAAUCAAGGCGUUUGCUGAUGCUUUUGAUCCUAUCCCAAAUCAUCAGCGGAUCGGCAUCCUGAAGUUGAGCAGUAUGCAAUCAGGGCGCCUGCUGAUGCUUUGGAUCCUAUUCCGCUAG